rnacentral:rRNA from 1 species
UACGUAGGUGGCAAGCGUUGUCCGGAUUUACUGGGCGUAAAGAGCGCGCAGGCGGUCGUUCAAGUCGCGUGUGAAAGCCCCGGGCUCAACCUGGGAAUUGCAGUCGAGACUGUUCGGCUAGAGUGUGGGAGAGGGUAGUGGAAUUCCCGGUGUAGUGGUGAAAUGCGUAGAUAUCGGGAGGAACACCAGUGGCGAAGGCGACUACCUGGCCCAUUCUUGACGCUGAGGCGCGAAAGCUAGGGGAGCGAACGGGG